rnacentral:rRNA from 1 species
GAUCCGAACGGAGGCCUAUACAUGCAGUCGAGCGACAGCAGAAGGAGCUUGCGUCCUUUGACGCUUACGCGUGCGGACGGGUGAGUAACACGUGGGCAACCUACCUUAUAGUUUGGGAUAACUCCGGGAAACCGGGGCUAAUACCGAAUAAUCUGUUUCACCUCAUGGUGAAAUAUUGAAAGACGGUUUCGGCUGUCGCUAUAGGAUGGGCCCGCGGCGCAUUAGCUAGUUGGUGAGGUAACGGCUCACCAAGGCGACGAUGCGUAGCCGACCUGAGAGGGUGAUCGGCCACACUGGGACUGAGACACGGCCCAGACUCCUACGGGAGGCAGCAGUAGGGAAUCUUCCACAAUGGGCGAAAGCCUGAUGGAGCAACGCCGCGUGAGUGAAGAAGGAUUUCGGUUCGUAAAACUCUGUUGUAAGGGAAGAACAAGUACAGUAGUAACUGGCUGUACCUUGACGGUACCUUAUUAGAAAGCCACGGCUAACUACGUGCCAGCAGCCGCGGUAAUACGUAGGUGGCAAGCGUUGUCCGGAAUUAUUGGGCGUAAAGCGCGCGCAGGUGGUUUCUUAAGUCUGAUGUGAAAGCCCACGGCUCAACCGUGGAGGGUCAUUGGAAACUGGGAGACUUGAGUGCAGAAGAGGAUAUUGGAAUUCCAAGUGUAGCGGUGAAGUGCGUAGAGAUUUGGAGGAACACCAGUGGCGAAUGCAACUAUGUAGUCUGUAGCUGACACUGAGGCGCGAAACCCUGGGGAGCAAACCCGAUUAGAUACCCUGGUAGUCCACGCCGUAAACGAUCAAUGGUAAUUCGUAAGGGGUUUCCCCCCUUAAUGGUGCAGCUGAAACUUUAAUCCUCCCCCCGGGGGAAAACGGCCCAAAAUCAAAAGCCCACCGAUGUAGAGGGGGGGCCUAACCGUGGAACUAAGGAGUUAUUUCCGGAGCUUGAGAAAAUUUUCCGGGUAAAGUCCGCUUAUAACUAUAAAAAAGGUUGGCGCCCUUUUGGGGCCUGGUUAAUGGAGGGGCCGGUUAGGCCCCCCUUUGCCAAGGAUUUUGGUUCCUCCCAAAAAGUUGCAACAAUGAUUUCCUGCCAACAUUGGGUGGCCCCCAAGGGCCCCCGUGAAAAAAAAAAAAGGGGGCCCCCAUAAAAACCGGGGCUUGAACCUGGGGGGGGGUAACCCAAGGAAGGCCCCCCCCCCCCCUAGGAAGGCCCAACAAAAAUUUGGCCGGGGGGGGGGGCGGGCCACCCCCCUUUUUUUUUUUUUUAAAAGGGAAUAAAGUUGUGGUUUCCCUUGGGCGAAAACCCAAAAGGGGGGGGGGCAAACCACGAUUUGAAACCCAAGGCCCUAAGGUUAAGGGCCGAAACCCGGGCACAAGGGAAAAAGGAAAGAAGUAAAAAAAACAAGAAAGGGGGCCGGGGGGGAAAAGGGCAAGGAGCGGAGAGAGGGGGACUUUGAAACCCCCCGGGGAGGGCUUGAAGAUCCCCGGAACUAUCCGGAACUGGGGGA